UCUGGUUGAUCCUGCCAGUAGUGAUAUGCUUGUUUCAAAGAUUAAGCCAUGCAUGUCUAAGUAUAAGCGAACUUAUACAGUGAAACUGCGGAUGGCUCAUUAAAACAGUUUGAAUUUAUUUGAUGAAUGUAUGAGAAUACUACUUGGAUAACCGUAGUAAUUCUAGAGCUAAUACAUGCAACGACGCCCGACCGUUUCACUACGGAAGGGCUGUAUUUAUUGGAUACCAAAACCAUCCUUCCCUCGGGAAGUUUUGUUUGAUGAUUCACAAUAACUGAUCGGAUCGCCACUGUGGUGGCGACAGGUCAUUCAACAUUCUGCCCUAUCAGCUUUCGAUGGUUGUGUAGUGGACAACCAUGGCCAUAACGGGUAACGGAGAAUCAGGGUUCGAUUCCGGAGAAGGAGCUUGAGAAUUGGCUACUACAUCUAAGGAAGGCAGCAGGCGCGCAAAUUACCCAAUCCCGAUUCGGGGAGGUAGUGACAAAAAAUAACAAUACCGGGCCUUUUUGGGCUUGGUAAUUGGAAUGAGGGAGAGUUAAACGGACCAUCGAGUAUCCAUUGGAGGGCAAGUCUGGUGCCAGCAGCUGCGGUAAUACCAGCUCCAAUAGCGUAUAUUAAAGUUGUUGCAGUUAAAAAGCUCGUAGUUGGACUUGUGUGCGCUGUCCGCGGGUGGCCUGCGCCCAAAAGGGCGUUUCGGUUCGGCCCCGGUGGCGCCUUGAAAUCUGCAGCUGGGGGGACGUUGGCCUUAACUGGUCGGCGACCGCACGCCGGCUGCUCGGUUACUGUGAGAAAAUUAGAGUGUUCAAGGCAGGCAUUGGGUGCAAUUGAAUACAUUAGCAUGGAAUAAUAAAAUAUGGCUCCUGCCGUAUUUUGUUGGUUUUGACUGGUGGGAGUAAUGAUUGAUAGGGACGGUUGGGGGUGCUAGUAUUGAGCGGCCAGAGGUGAAAUUCAUGGAUUCGCUCAAGACUAACUUAUGCGAAAGCAUUCACCAAGGACGUCCUCUUUAAUCAAGAACGAAAGUUGGGGGAUCGAAGACGAUCAGAUACCGUCGUAGUCUCAACCAUAAACUAUGUCGACUUGGGAUCGGCGGUAGUUUUUUCAUUAAGACACUGUCGGGACCACGGGAGAAAUCAAAGUGUCUGGACUCUGGGGAAGUAUGGUCGCAAGGCUGAAACUUGAAGGAAUUGACGGAAGGGCACCACCAGGAGUGGAGCCU
rnacentral:rRNA from 1 species